rnacentral:rRNA from 1 species
UGGGGAAUAUUGCGCAAUGGGCGAAAGCCUGACGCAGCGACGCCGCGUGGGGGAUGAAGCUUCUCGGAGUGUAAACCCCUUUCGACCCGGACGAAUGUCCCGCAAGGGAUUGACGGUACGGGUAUAAGAAGCCCCGGCUAACUACGUGCCAGCAGCCGCGGUAAUACGUAGGGGGCCAGCGUUGCUCGGAAUUACUGGGCGUAAAGGGUUCGUAGGCGGUGCGGCAAGUCGGAAGUGAAAUCUCUGGGCUCAACUCAGAGGCUGCUUCCGAAACUGCCGUGCUUGAGUGCGGGAGAGGCGAGUGGAAUUACAGGUGUAGCGGUGAAAUGCGUAGAUAUCUGUAGGAACACCCGUGGCGAAGGCGGCUCGCUGGACCGCAACUGACGCUGAGGAACGAAAGCUAGGGGAGCAAACAGGAUUAGAUACCCCCGUAGUCC